GCCGGCUUAGCUCAGUUGGUAGAGCACCCGCCUUGUAAGCGGAAGGUCCCCAGUUCGAUCCCGGGAGCCGGCACCA
rnacentral:tRNA from 1 species